AGUGUUGUGUGGGUGAAAGGGGAGGAGAAGUGAAAUACACAACGUCAAAAUCAAUAACACGCAAGGAUUUUCCUCCCAGGAUAUUUGUCUCCAGAUGGUGUAAUAAUUCGCGGGUUCCUUAGCUGAAGUUCGUCCGUCCCAAUUAGUUGAACUUGCAUCACAUAUUGCCUACCAUCAACCGCACACGCAAAGAGAAAAGUGAAAAGCCAGUAGAUUUUUAUUCCCACCAUUGCAUUUGAUGGCCGGGCGCCGAAUCUCGCAAUCACGUUAUGUGCUGUGUCCCGUCUGAAAAGCUCCAGCUCGUUAUCGCAUUACACAGUUUGCGUUUUCAGGUUUUGUAGCAGUGGAAACUGGUGCAGAAGAAGCAGUAGUCGAAGAAGUGAAAGUGUGUUACUGAGAGAUUAUUCCAAAGGGGUGCCGCUGGGAAAGUGCGUUCUAAAUGUAGGUUACAACAAGUGCAAGUGUCAAAGAAAAUCCCAGGAGCAGAAAGGGAAAGCUUUCAAUAAUCAAGCUUCGUGGGUUGGCUGUGGGAGUGAAUUACGGUGAAGCGGAUCAAACACUUUCCGGAUCCGUACUGUACUGUCGUUCCGGUUGCUUAACGGUGGCGAAGAAGUGCAAUACGAGAAAGGCCGCAUCAUGAGCAGUACGGAACAUCCUCCGGGGGAUCUGAUCAAUGGCAGUACGAUCAACCCGAAGCCGACCAUUAUCGUGCAUUCUACGGGGGCAGCUGCGGCACUGGGAAUCGAUCCACUGAUCAGUCACGUUGGUGACGGUAUCUUUCUGCAGACCAAGACCGCCCAGGGAUUGGCCGGUAUUUUCGUGUGGAUCGCUUUGUUCAUCA